CCUGCUUUUACUGUCCUUCUGUGGUAGCUUGCAGUCCAUUUCUAAGAGUGGCAGCCUAUAGGAAGGGCUAGAAUCCUGCUGUAGCCUUCAGGGACACACUUGCACUGGGGCAAAAGUAGCCAAGCUGCUCAACGCAUAGAGGAUGCUCACUUCUCCUUGAAAAAUGCCCCAAAGAAACCCUUGGGGGGAAAAAAAAAAAUCUUUUCUUUUUUCCCCUCUGGAAGGAGUUUGUUCUUGUGUAGGCAGGGUCACACUGCAUCCACCAAUCACUGCUGUUUCUAUGUGUCCACAAGUAACAAGCUAACAAAGAACAAGCUAAUUAGACAGAACUAAUAAAAAACAUUGGUAAUUAUUCUCUGAAAGUUCUGAUCUGUGGCUGAUGCAAAAAUGAAGAAUUUGUGCUUCUCAAUGUGUUUCCCGUUUGCUGUCUCACAUUCUUUCUAGCUCUACCUAGAUUUUCUUAUUUGUUUGUUUUAAAUGCCAUUGAAACCAUGGCAGCAAGGGCAGUGGAAGGAAAGAACAAAGAAGGUGGAGAAGAUGGAGUCCUUUUAUACCUGAAUUCAGGUGCUUGUCCCUCAGCGAGCUCACAUCACUGCCAUGCCACAAGGAGAAGCAAAACUGAAGAAAUUAUAUCCCGUGGAGCACAAAGAUUUCCCACCAUCCUACAGGCCAACACUGUUGGUACACUCAGUACCUCAGCAGCUGUACAGCUGAGGACGGAUCUGCGCCCAGUUU
rnacentral:lncRNA from 1 species